rnacentral:tRNA from 1 species
GUUAAUGUAGCUUAAUACUUAAAGCAAGACACUGAAAAUGUCUAGAUGGGCACUAUUACCCCAUAAACA